CAAAUUAAAGCUUAUAAUAAGUUUUUUAUUUACAUUAAGAAGAUUGCUGUUUAAUACAGUUAAUUUGA
rnacentral:tRNA from 1 species